GUGCCCUAUUCCUUGUGUAGUGCACUACUUCUGACCAGGGCCUUUGACCAGUAGUGCACUAUAUAGGGAAUAGGGAGCCAUUUUGGACAACCUUACAGUAUGACUCUGUUGCGCUACACUCCGUCUACAGUGAGUGAAUGUCUUUAGCCAGAAUCAUGUCAAUGGUUGUCCAUACUGUUGCCACUGUUUGUUAAUGCUGUUCUUAGAUCAGCUGUCAGUUAGUUAAACCUUCAUUUUGCCAGGCAGGUCAUUUCUGGCCUGAUUCUCAUUCACAGUACCGACUUUGUUGGUCAAGAGGUGAACAUGAUAAAGCACAGUACUUGAACUGUUAGUGCUCCUAGCUAGGGGAUAUCGAGGGUGAAUCUCAAUAGUAUUACCUUGGUUCCUCACCUCCUUCUUUCACUGCCUUCUCUAAGUACACUGGAGGAGAAGGACCGUGGGGAGGAACCUCAGAUCUGCUCUUUCAAUGUGUUUUGAGAUGAGGGAAAGAUAAUUGGGAUUCACCCCUAGCGUUAACUCUGUCCCUUUGUGUUCUCUCUCUCCUAGGAGCGUGUCCUGUGUAUAAAGGUCCACAUCAGCCACCUGUGUUGAGCAGCAUCACGCCAAACCGCCAUUGUCUGUCUAGAGGGGGCACUCUCUGUCAGUCCUGGGGGAGGGCAGGCUGCCUGCAGGCUGCAGUCUGGGGUGGGUGGGAGGGGAUUGGCUGGGUGAGGGGGAGUGGGUCCAAUGCCAGCAUUCUGUUCUGCACAGCCAUCUAGCAAGCAUUGCCAUCAUUGGCUCUCUCCAUUUCUGCUCUUCCAUCCGAUUGGAUAGAUUGGUCUCUGCCACCCCCAUUCACUUCUUCCUUCCUACCCCUUGUGGUCCCCCUCCCCCAACUGUUGCCAUAGCAACAUACUCAUGCGCCUCAAUGUCCCAGGCAGUCAUACAGGCAAAAUAUAUAGAUCACAUAAACAUACACGUGCAAACACUCAGCCACAAACCCAAAGUAUUCACACCAAGUCUGUGCGUGGGGAUUCCUGUGAGGUUCUGUCCGCUCCUCCCUCUCCCCACCGCUGUAUUCCGGUGGACCAUUCCGGAGUGGACUGUGAUCUCAGAUCCUAUGAGGCUCUCUCUCAGAAUGACCCAUUACGUUGGGCUUGCGGGGAUGGGUUUGGUUCAGGCUCAGGGGUGCUAAAAAAAGAAACAAUGGAGCUCAGUGACAUCGAGGAUUGCACAGCACAACCAGCUCUCAUUUUUACAUUUUAUUUUCCUGUUCUGUCAUUCUUUUUCUUAAUUGUUUUUAAAAUUAAUUUUUACGGCUAAUGUUCAUCUAGAAGUUAUGAUCAUUAUUGUUACUAUUAUUGUUAUUACUGUUUACUGUAAAAUAAGUUUUUAUUGUUAUUAUGAUUAUAAUGACAAUUAUUAUUAAAGAAAAAAAAAUGUUCUGUGUUGCAAGGAGGACAACAUUUUAGUUUUGAUUACUUAUGUAAUUCUGCACUUUCAGUUCAAUGCUAUCUUUUAUUCUUCUCCCUGUUUACCCUCUCAUAUUGCCUGUUCCUUUUCUCACUCCCUUGUUCUCUCAUGUUUUAUGCCCUUCUCCCCCCCCUGUUCAUUCCAUCCUUCCUCCCUCUUUUUCCACUCCCCAUCGCUCCCCUGCCCCCUCUUGUGACAGUGUGGCAUUGUGGGUAGUUUUAACUGACAUUCUUCCCCUUCCUCCUCUGUACAGCGACACCAUGUAUAGAUUGCAAUUUCUGUAUCAUAUUUUUGGGGGGAGGUGUUGGGGAGGCAUUUUUAUAUUGUUAUUAUUUUGUAUUUUUGGAUGUCUUCAGAUGUCAUAUUUUUUUUAUUUGGGGGGGGGAAUAUUGAGAUUUUUAGCCAAAAGAGUACAGGGAGAAGUCUCCUUCAUUGUCAUAAAAAAAUAUUGUUCUUAUUGUUUUAUUAUCGAGACACUUGAAGAGGAGAGUGAUUAUUUGUGUUACUUUUUAUCAUUUCAAUCAUUGAUGCCAUUGUUAUCGUUCUCUGCUUUUUAGGGGUAGAUUUUGCAGGCAAGGGGUUGUAGGGUGGUUCGGUGCUGGGAGUGCAGUAAAUGAAAUGGAGGGGAACUGUAAUAUAGCUGACAAAUCAUCCCCAUCAUCAUCAUAAGACAUUUAGAGGUGGAGAGAGAAAGAACCCUUCUCCUCUCGCUCCCCCAAUCUGCAGUGGUACCCUCCGUCUCCGACCUCAUCGCCCCCCUUAUUGGCCGACACACAAUGGACAUUGCUUCUCCUCCCGACUCUGGCCCCGCUACGGCCACAUCUCCAGGAGGAGACUACUACUCUGCACAUAUGCUGCCUCCCUUUUCUAUCUCUUUCUCGCUCUCUCAUUCCCUCCCUUUGUCACAUGAUCAGCAAGGGAGACCUACUCCAGCCCCAAUACUGGAUUCAGUCCUCCAUCGCUUCAGAAGGAGAGAAAUGAGGAACUGACCAUAAACUGAGCGGUCUCGAGUUUUGACCCCAACGCAGUAUGUACAGUUCAGAUAGUGAGCGUAGGGUUUGGGAGAAUGAUCCGCCCACCUAUCCUCCCCCUUGUCCGCAAGGACUCCCAGUGCAUCAUGGUCCAGCGAGGGACUGUGUGUGUGUUGCUGAUGAGGGACCACCUCCUUGUUUUCUUCUUCCUUAUCUGUUUCUGUCUGACUUCCCCCUCCAUCGUCUGUAAACCAGCUCUCUGCUCGGCACCUGUAUCCUAUGUUCUCUUUUUCUAUCCUUUCAUUUAAUUUUUAAUUUUUUUUUUUGUACAAAAAUACUAAAGUGCAACAAUGAUUAAAUAGAAUUCCAACCAAACUGAGAUGAAUUAAAUAAAUAUAUAUAAAUAAAUAAUUUAAAAAG
ensembl:lncRNA